AAGGAGUCUGUUUUUGUUGCAAGUCUUUUGGUAAAAAACCAAGGGGCGGAAUGAAAGUGAAAGCUUUGAGCUUUGGUGGGACAAGAGGAUUAAACCCCUCUUUGCACCAUCGGCCGACCAUGCGUCUUUGACAAAAGGUUUGAGUAGAAGCAACACAAAUGGGACCCGAAAGAUGGUGAUCUAAACUCGACUAGGGCAAAGUCAAAGGAAACUUUGAUGGAGGCUCGAAUCCGUUCUGACGUGCAAAUCGAUGGUCGAAUAUUGAGUUUAGGGGCGAAAGACUAAUCGAACCAUCUGGUAGCUGGUUCCCUC
rnacentral:sRNA from 1 species